AGAAGAAAAACCACCCGAGUGUUCCUGUUAUCAGCGUGUGUAAGGGCAAGUAAACAGCCGAAACCGCACACGGUAUCUGCCAAACAAGCGGGCGAAGGAAGAACAGCCUUGUUUCCUGUUGCUGGAAGGCCGUGUUGUCAUAUCCUUACCCAACUAUUUUAAAUUGCUUUUUUCUUUCUUCCUGCGGCUUAAGGUAAAAGCAGAAACCUCAGGAGCAUUGCGCAAGGUGUGAGAGGAGAGAAGUGUGUCUGACCACCGGCGGUUAUCCCGAGCCUGCUCGCUUGCAAAGACAAAGGCUUGAAGACUCUUCUCCCACCCCCAGCCUGACGGUCCUCUGUGCUGUGGCAAAUAUCACCGUGCCCGGGAGAACGAGCGGCCGUGGGGCAGCAUCCUUCUCGAGGAAACAGAGGUUUUUGUGGAACGGCCGUUCUCCGUGUCCUCAUGGAAGUUUAAUCCGUAU